GACUAACGCUGGCGGCGUGCUUAACACAUGCAAGUCGUACGGUAAGGCCCUUUCGGGGGUACACGAGUGGCGAACGGGUGAGUAACACGUGAGUAACCUGCCCACAACUUUGGGAUAACGCUAGGAAACUGGUGCUAAUACUGGAUAUGUGCUCCUGCUGCAUGGUGGGGGUUGGAAAGCUCCGGCGGUUGUGGAUGGACUCGCGGCCUAUCAGCUUGUUGGUGGGGUAGUGGCCUACCAAGGCGGCGACGGGUAGCCGGCCUGAGAGGGUGACCGGCCACAUUGGGACUGAGAUACGGCCCAGACUCCUACGGGAGGCAGCAGUGGGGAAUAUUGCACAAUGGGCGCAAGCCUGAUGCAGCAACGCCGCGUGCGGGAUGACGGCCUUCGGGUUGUAAACCGCUUUCAGCAGGGACGAAGCUUUUUGUGACGGUACCUGCAGAAGAAGCACCGGCUAACUACGUG
rnacentral:rRNA from 1 species